ensembl:snoRNA Gm25830 small nucleolar RNA SNORA17
CCUGCCUCGGGAGCAUUGCAGCUGUGCCUGCUGUGUCACAGGUACCUCAGUAGGUGGCAGGGAGGAGAGAGGCUAUGUUUAAGCUCAGUAUUGUGACCUGUGAACAUCUGAAUGAUUAGCAGCUUAACAUU